rnacentral:rRNA from 1 species
GACGAACGCUGGCGGCGUGCUUAACACAUGCAAGUCGAACGAAGUGGCGAACGGGUGAGUAACGCGUAAUCAACCUGCCCUUCAGAGGGGGACAACAGGUGGAAACGACUGCUAAUACCGCAUACUGAAGGAGGGGCUUGCGUCUGAUUAGCAAGUGGGGGGGGUAACGGCCCACCAAGGCAAUGAUCAGUAGCCGGACUGAGAGGAUGAAAGGCCACAUUGGGACGGGGACACGGCCCAGACUCCUAAGGGAGGGAGCAGUUGGGAAUCUUCCGCAAUGGACGAAAGUCUGACGGAGCAACGCCGCGUGAGGGAUGACGGCCUUCGGGUUGUAAAGCUUUGUUAUUCGGGACGCGGUACCGGAAUAGAAAGCCACGGCUAACUACGUGCCAGCCGCCGCGGUAAUAC